UGAGGAAGUAAAAGUCGUAACAAGGUUUCCGUAGGUGAACCUGCGGAAGGAUCAUUAUUGAAUUUUGAAGGGGGUUGUAGCUGAUCUUUUGUAGAUAUGUGCACACCUCUUGUCAUCUAUACACCCACAUGUGCACUUUUGUAGGCUUUUCAAGGCCUAUGUUUGCUUCAUACACACACACACAUUGUAAAAGAAUGUUAAUUGAUGAAAUUUAAUACAACUUUCAACAACGGAUCUCUUGGCUCUCGCAUCGAUGAAGAACGCAGCGAAAUGCGAUAAGUAAUGUGAAUUGCAGAAUUCAGUGAAUCAUCGAAUCUUUGAACGCACCUUGCGCUCCUUGGUAUUCCGAGGAGCAUGCCUGUUUGAGUGUCAUUAAAUUAUCAACCUCUUUUUAAAAGAUGCUUGGAUUUGGAGUGUUGCUGGCUUUAUAUGUUGGCUCCUCUUAAAUGCAUUAGCUUGUAGGCUUUGGUUUGAUAAUAUCUAUGCCAUCGCUGUAAUGCAAAAAAAAACAACCUUUUGAAAUUUGACCUCAAAUCAGGUAAGACUACCCGCUGAACUUAAGCAUAUCAAUAAGCGGAGGAAAAGAAACUAACAAGGAUU
rnacentral:rRNA from 1 species